rnacentral:rRNA from 1 species
UGGGGAAUUGUUCGCAAUGGGCGCAAGCCUGACGACGCAACGCCGCGUGGAGGAUGAAGGUCUUCGGAUUGUAAACUCCUGUUGCCCGGGACGAAUGACUUCGACCUAACACGUCGAAGUGUGACGGUACCGGGUGAGGACGCCCCGGCUAACUCUGUGCCAGCAGCCGCGGUAAUACAGAGGGGGCAAGCGUUGUUCGGAAUUACUGGGCGUAAAGGGCGCGUAGGCGGCCUGUUAAGUCGAACGUGAAAUCCCUAGGCUCAACCUAGGAACUGCGUCCGAUACCGGCAGGCUUGAAUCCGGGAGAGGGAUGCGGAAUUCCAGGUGUAGCGGUGAAAUGCGUAGAUAUCUGGAGGAACACCGGUGGCGAAGGCGGCAUCCUGGACCGGCAUUGACGCUGAGGCGCGAAAGCCAGGGGAGCAAA